rnacentral:rRNA from 1 species
CAGGAUUAGAUACCCUGGUAGUCCACGCUGUAAACGAUGAGUGCUGAAUGUGGGGACGUUUUGUCUCUGUGUUGUAGCUAACGCGUUAAGCACUCCGCCUGGGGACUACGGUCGCAAGACUAAAACUCAAAGGAAUUGACGGGGACCCGCACAAGCGGUGGAGCAUGUGGUUUAAUUCGAUGCAACGCGAAGAACCUUACCACUUCUUGACAUGGAGAUUAGAUCCUUCUUAACAGAAGGGCGCAGUUCGGCUGGAUCUCGCACAGGUGCUGCAUGGCUGUCGUCAGCUCGUGUCGUGAGAUGUUGGGUUAAGUCCCGCAACGAGCGUAACCCUCAUCCUUAGUUGCCAGCGGGUUAAGCCGGGCACUUUAAGGAGACUGCCAGUGGUAAACUGGAGGAAGGUGGGGAUGAUGUCAAGUCAGCACGGCCCUUAUGGGGUGGGCUACACACGUGCUACAAUGGUGACUACAAUAGGUUGCAAUGUCGCAAGGCUGAGCUAAUCCGUAAAAGUCAUCUCAGUUCGGAUUGUCCUCUGCAACUCGAGGGCAUGAAGUCGGAAUCGCUAGUAAUCGUGGAUCAGCAUGCCACGGUGAAUACGUUCUCGGGUCUUGUACACACUGCCCGUCACGCCAUGGGAAUUGGCUUAACUC